UUUGAAGCAAAAUGUUUGCGAAAUCGAAAACAUCAUGUUUACGGCCCAUUUUUUCCUUCGUCUGCCGCAGCCAAUGCGUUACGCUGUCAGAAUCAGCUGGCGCGCGAUUUCCAAAGUCAAAACAAACACCAAAAAACUGACCGUGAUAUGUUUUGGUGAGAAUUUGUGUGGAACCGAUCACAAGAUUGUGGUCCGUUUUCAUUCAGGCCGGACACUGCGUUGGUGGACGGUUCCGGACGGUUCCGUGAACGAAUAACGGCCGCGGUCCAGUUCGAUACAGCCGAUUCCAAGGCCGGUAGAUGGAACCGGAAAAGGGAUGGGGGAAGCAGAGCCUGGCGGGUUGGACCUGUUCCUGCUGAGCGUUGUUCAAGAUGCUACGUGAAAAUCAUCCGCCAACCCAUGUUAACAACUGGCCAGCGGGCCAAUCCAUCAGGGCUUUCAGCAAGCAACUGCUCCUCACUCGGGAUUGCGAACUCCCGCACAGGUGCCUGCCCUACCAAGGACAGUCUCAUGAGUACAAGCUGUUUACGGUGAAUUUGGCCAAUAGGAUUGGAGGAACAAGCGGCCUGAGACUGCCGUCGUUUUUAAGCAUCCGGAAAUGAGUCGCCGACCCCCUCUCCGUUGGACUAGCCCGUGUUGGAAACCUCACAAAAAUCCGACUGCUGGCGGAGAUUCUGUCCCGCAGGGCGAACAAAAGGAGAGAACCCGUUCAAGGCGGGCCGCUCCGCUCAAAUCGAUCCUCGAGGUGGAGGUCGGAUUUGGAAUCCCGAUCGUGGCGCUCAGCUAAGGGCGCCUUCGUUGCCUUGUGUGGCGCCAGAUGCCUCCAGUUCCGGCAUUAACCUGACCUUUCCCAAAGUCACAAAGAGGAAAACAAAAACAGCCUCCAAAACGGAGCGCUGCGCGGUUCCAUGGAACAGAGUCCGGCGCCGGAAAUCAACCAGAUCGCCGGUCCGAGCACGCUGCACCGUUCUUAGCAGCACAUCUAUCCGGGUGUCCUCACCGCCGGCGUCGACCAGAACUCGCACACCCUGCUGCACUUAAUGCAAAACGGUGCCGGUCACAAAGUGCAAGUGGAGCAUUAACGAGUGCACAGCGGCCACGCCUCCUACUCCUCCAUCUGCUAGCACCGAAUUCACGUCACGGGUGGCAACGUGCCAACGGCGGCGACGGCGCCCAGGAGUUCCCAGCUACAUCACGGACUUCGAGGCCGGUUCGUCCUGCCGGAUCUUGCAAAUAUACUCCUUCGAACCGUCACCAGUGCCGCUUGGUCCAUGUUUUUGAAUAAACUUUCAAAAGCAACACGUUGUGUGAAAUUGAUAUUCCUUAG